rnacentral:rRNA from 1 species
AUGGUUGAUACCGUAGACGGUGUGGAGGAACACUCCGAUGUGAAUCCGAUCUCGUCUACAGGAGAUGGGGGAACUUCGGUCUCUCGUGAGGAGUUCAAUGUGGCCUUGGAGACAUUGAAAACCUCCAUGACGACCGAAGUUGAAAGCAUGUUUACUAAAUUUCUUGAGGGGCUUAAACUAUCCACCGCACCGUUGAAAGUGGGUGAUCCCGCCAACAAGGUGUCGGAUGCUAUCCCCGACAAGGGGGAAGCUAGUAGUGAAAAGACUCCUUCUUCUAGUGGCAAGAAUGGCACCGACAUCUUUGCCCAUGUGGAACCACCACUUGUUUAUGGUGGACCGGUUCCUUCCACUCAUUUGAAUCAUGCCGGUCCUCCCCCUAAGAUUGUGAAAAACGAGGAUUUUGAUUCUUGGGUUUACCACUUUAAACGUCAUUUAAAUCAUGUGAACACUAACCUUUGGAGAAUCAUUGAAGAAGGUUUCUAUCCACACGAUCCAAGCAACUUCACUCCUCGAGAAGCCGCAGACAAUCAAUUCAAUGAGAAUGCUCUCUUCAUCAUUCAAGAUGCAAUUCCACCCGAAGACUUACUUCAUCUUCGUCCCUUCGCCUUGGCCAAAGAUGCAUGGCAUUGUGUCGUGUCUCUCUACCGGGGACGCGCAAGCAUUCAACGCUCCAACUAUGAAGUGGUACAAGAUGAGGCCAAUGAGUUUGUAAUGAAGGAAGAUGAAGAACCUCGUGAGCUUUAUUGGAGAGUAACCAAACUCGCGGUCUCACUACGAGAUCACGGGAGCAAGGACACGGAUGACAAUUGGAUCAAGCGCAAAUUCCUCAAGGCAAUGAUGCCCUACCACAAGGCCAUGUCCUCCGUCAUUCGUCAAAGACCGGACUUCCACACUUUGACCUCAAGCGAAGUGUUGGAUGAGUUUGUGGCCAUGAACAUUUUGGACGAGACCGCCGACAAUGCGGUGCUCCGUUCUUAA